ACAAAGAAUCAGUGAGGUAGAUGUAUUAGUAUUUAGUGACUUAUUAAUCGUUUUGUAUUUCAAACCAUUUACUUUUUCUUAAAUAAGCUUCCUUGCUGUGGGAGCACAUUCCUUUCCUUCAGCCAAUAGCAUUUAAGAUACCAGCCCACUUGGGCGUGGUUUCUUAUACUGGAAAUGUAGCUGUAAAGCAUGUGCUCUCUGUCUAGCUUCCCACUCUUGCUUCUGGAGGCUGCUAGACUCUGUUCCUUUUCAAGCAGUGGACUCUUAUCUAGGACAGUGAUCUAGUGGCUGUACAAGUAUGCAUUCCCACCAGCAAUGGAUGAGUGUUCACCUUACUCCACAUCCUCGCCAGAAUAAGUUCCCUUCUGUGUCCUCACUGGUGCGGGUGACAUGCUAGCAACCAGAAAAGCAAGGCAUCCAGAGUGAGGGGUUGCAUGGAAGAUUCGCCCUGACUGGUCAGCAAGGCUCAUCUCUUGCUACUGUUAUUAUUAUACUUGAGCUCGUCCUGAUGGACACCCAUCAGCACGACAAGAAGCUUCCUCUUCAACUCUGAACCCACCUUAGUGAGCAGCUGUAUCCAGGUUCCUACAGCCUCAACUCCAACACUUCAAGGAACGGAUCAUAAACAGCCUAGGUCAGUUAGUAGUCUCAUCGGUGUCCUCAAUAAGGAGCAUUUCCUGUCACACAACCCAAAGAAAAUAAGAAGCCUCCCCCCCCGUAUUAGUUUUUCCUCAUCUCUACCCAACCUAUUUCAGAAGAGCUCUGCCGUGGCCCCUUGGGACCUUGCCCAUCACCUCCAGGCAGAGCUGGAGUCACAGCCAAUCUGAGUCAUGGCCACAGUGAGAUCCCAGAACAGGAGAGGAUGAGGACAGGCAGGGAAGCCAAUGAGGCCACUGUUCUGAUCGAGGCCACUAUCCCUUGCCUCUCCCUCACCUGGAUGCUGUCCGAGACAAUUCCUUUUGAUUUGGGGCUCCUCAUCCCCACAGAGCAGAGAUGCAGAGUGUAACCCACCCCCGACUCCUCAUCACUCCCACCCCAGUGCUACCACAACACCACUCUGACCCCAGCUCCAGUCCAGACCAGAGUCCUCAGGGUCACUUGCUCCACCAUCUUCAUCACCAUCACCAGGGUUCUUUUAUUCUAGCAUCAUCUUUGGUGUUGGCGGGGUAUGGUAGGGGGAGGCUCAUGUAGCCCUGGACCUUUGAUUCCUUCUUCCUUUCGAUAGGCAAUAAACUAA